rnacentral:lncRNA from 1 species
GUGUAAUCAAAGAAUGAAUCCUUUCUUGAAAGUGCAAGGUGGGAUGAAUUAGAUCAGUGGUGCAAAAGCAGAUGUUCUUUACUGUGAUAGGCCUUUCUUUGGAUACUCUGGGAAGAAGGGACCUAAACAAAACACUAAACUGAAGAGGAUUCAGAGGUGCAAUCACUGCCAGCCACUGCAAGCAAGAGAAAUCCCCUUUAAAUAGAUAUUUUCUCUGCAUUUGUUUCCAAACUGUAAUUCUGCUGCAUGACUUAAAAAAAGAGGGGGGAAAAAAGGAAAAGAAAAAAAAAAAAAAAAAAAGAUUUGAUAUUUCAGUCUCUCAGGGCAGCUUCCGAAUAAUUACAUGCAAAAUGAUCUAUUAUAUAUUUAUUGAAAAUAGUAUUGCUGAGUACAAAUGUGCAUUUUAUUCAGAAUGGUCAUUUUUUAAAGGCAUCUAUUGUAGCUGAUUCACUAACAUCCAGGGGUUCUUGCCAUACACACAGCACAGAUUUUUUUGAUUAUGUAGAUUUUUUUUUCCUAUUGCAGUUUCAUAUGCAAAGCAUGCAUCAGCCACAUCCAUGCUAUCUCCUAAAGCAGUCAUUCUGAAACCCAAUCUGGGGACAGUGCAGACUAAAUAAAAUUUCAUUUUGAUUUGGCCUCCCGCUGAGAAUGGGACUGCUUUGUUUCAGCCGACAGAACCAGCAAGCCAGAAAGGUGUUGAAUACACAAAAACUGACUUAACGGACAAUUGUCACACCACAGGAAGGUGUUGGGCACAUCCAGAAGCUACCUGGAUCCAAGAGUUUCCCUAUGGAUGAAAGGUGAAUAUUUGUCAUAUCAACAAUGCGGCAACCUGAACCCAGAAGAAAUCUGGCAGGUUUACUGGAGGCAGUUUUACCCGUUUUUCACUCCUCUCUUCCGGACUCUUACAAGCAGACUAAACUCUAGGGAUGAAGCUGAAGAAGACUGA